rnacentral:rRNA from 1 species
AUUGAACGCUGGCGGCAGGCCUAACACAUGCAAGUCGAGCGAAGCCUUCGGGCUUAGCGGCGGACGGGUGAGUAACGCGUGGGAACGUGCCCUUUGCUACGGAAUAGCCCCGGGAAACUGGGAGUAAUACCGUAUGUGCCCUUCGGGGAAAGAUGUAUCGGCAAAGGAUCGGCCCGCGUUGGAUUAGGUAGUUGGUGGGGUAAUGGCCUACCAAGCCGACGAUACAUAGCCGGUUUGAGAGGAAGAUCAGCCACACUGGGGCUGAGACACGGCCCAGACUCCUACAGGAGGCAGCAGUGGGGAAUCUUAGACGAUGGGGGAAACCCUGAUCUAGCCAUGCCGCGUGAUCGAUGAAGGCCUUAGGGUUGUAAAGAUCUUUCAGUGGGGAAGCUAAUGACUGUACCCACAGAAGAAGCCCCGGCUAACUCCGUGCCAGCAGCCGCAGUAAGAC